CCUACGGGCGGCAGCAGUGGGGGAUAUUGGACAAUGGGGGGAACCCUGAUCCAGCGACGCCGCGUGAGUGAAGAAGUAUUUCGGUAUGUAAAGCUCUGUCAGCAGGGAAGAAAGAAAUGACGGUACCUGACCAAGAAGCCCCGGCUAACUACGUGCCAGCAGCCGCGGUAAUACGUAGGGGGCAAGCGUUAUCCGGAAUUACUGGGUGAAAAGGGAGCGUAGACGGUUAAGUAAGUCUGGAGUGAAAGGCCGGGGCCCAACCCCGGGACUGCUCUGGAAACUAUUGAACUUGAGUGCAGGGGAGGUAAGCGGAAUUCCUAGUGUAGCGGUGAAAUGCGUAGAUAGUAGGAGGAACACCAGUGGCGAGGGCGGCUUACUGGACUGUAACUGACGUUGAGGCUCGAAAGCGUGGGGAGCAAACAGGAUUAGAUACCCCAGUAGUC
rnacentral:rRNA from 1 species